rnacentral:rRNA from 1 species
UGACCUGUGAGGGUUGCUGGAGGUAUCAGAAGUGCGAAUGCUGACAUAAGUAACGAUAAAGCGGGUGAAAAGCCCGCUCGCCGGAAGACCAAGGGUUCCUGUCCAACGUUAAUCGGGGCAGGGUGAGUCGACCCCUAAGGCGAGGCCGAAAGGCGUAGUCGAUGGGAAACAGGUUAAUAUUCCUGUACUUGGUGUUACUGCGAAGGGGGGACGGAGAAGGCUAUGUUAGCCGGGCGACGGUUGUCCCGGUUUAAGCAUGUAGGCUGGUUGUCCAGGCAAAUCCGGAUAAUCAAGGCUGAGGUGUGAUGACGAGGCACUACGGUGCUGAAGUAACAAAUGCCCUGCUUCCAGGAAAAGCCUCUAAGCAUCAGGUAACAUCAAAUCGUACCCCAAACCGACACAGGUGGUCAGGUAGAGAAUACCAAGGCGCUUGAGAGAACUCGGGUGAAGGAACUAGGCAAAAUGGUGCCGUAACUUCGGGAGAAGGCACGCUGGUGUGUAGGUGAAGUCCCUGCGGGUGGAGCUGAGACCAGUCGAAGAUACCAGCUGGCUGCAACUGUUUAUUAAAAACACAGCACUGUGCAAACACGAAAGUGGACGUAUACGGUGUGACGCCUGCCCGGUGCCGGAAGGUUAAUUGAUGGGGUUAUCCGUAAGGAGAAGCUCUUGAUCGAAGCCCCGGUAAACGGCGGCCGUAACUAUAACGGUCCUAAGGUAGCGAAAUUCCUUGUCGGGUAAGUUCCGACCUGCACGAAUGGCGUAAUGAUGGCCAGGCUGUCUCCACCCGAGACUCAGUGAAAUUGAACUCGCUGUGAAGAUGCAGUGUACCCGCGGCAAGACGGAAAGACCCCGUGAACCUUUACUAUAGCUUGACACUGAACAUUGAGCCUUGAUGUGUAGGAUAGGUGGGAGGCUUUGAAGCGUGGACGCCAGUNNNNNNNNNNCCCCUGACCGGGGUUGCGGACAGUGUCUGGUGGGUAGUUUGACUGGGGCGGUCUCCUCCCAAAGCGUAACGGAGGAGCACGAAGGUUAGCUAAUCCUGGUCGGACAUCAGGAGGUUAGUGCAAUGGCAUAAGCUAGCUUGACUGCGAGCGUGACGGCGCGAGCAGGUGCGAAAGCAGGUCAUAGUGAUCCGGUGGUUCUGAAUGGAAGGGCCAUCGCUCAACGGAUAAAAGGUACUCCGGGGAUAACAGGCUGAUACCGCCCAAGAGUUCAUAUCGACGGCGGUGUUUGGCACCUCGAUGUCGGCUCAUCACAUCCUGGGGCUGAAGUAGGUCCCAAGGGUAUGGCUGUUCGCCAUUUAAAGUGGUACGCGAGCUGGGUUUAGAACGUCGUGAGACAGUUCGGUCCCUAUCUGCCGUGGGCGCUGGAGAAUUGAGGGGGGCUGCUCCUAGUACGAGAGGACCGGAGUGGACGCAUCACUGGUGUUCGGGUUGUCAUGCCAAUGGCACUGCCCGGUAGCUAAAUGCGGAAGAGAUAAGUGCUGAAAGCAUCUAAGCACGAAACUUGCCCCGAGAUGAGUUCUCCCUGAGACUU